CACUUACCUCGAACACAACAAUCAUCUUGGGGCAACUACCGAAGAAGGAUACAACUUCUCGUACAAGGCACCAUAGGUUCUCAUCGAUCGUAAUGUGACCGUCUCGCAAAAUAAACAGCUAGCGUUAUAAACACUAACACACCUUAUAACAUACCAAUAGAUGUACUUCAAACUUCAAGGACCCGUACGUUAUAAACUGCCAAUUUAACCAACAACACUACACUUGCUC
rnacentral:rRNA from 1 species